rnacentral:lncRNA from 1 species
AUGACUUAGCAACUGAACAACAACAGCUUUAGCCACUCAUCAAGUAAGGAUCAAAGAUGGUGUAAGACUGGGUCUCAGGGAUCUUCCCGACCCAUGGAUCAAACCCAUGUCUCCGGCCUGAUUCUCCUGCCUUGCAGGCAGAUUCUUUACUGCUGAGCCACUAGAGAAGCCUCUACUUCUUGCUGGCUCAUCAUAAAAUGGAAACUCAGGG